AGUCAGAUACACACACACACACAGUCAGAUACACACAUACAGUCAGAUAUACACACAUAGUCAGAUACACACACACACAUAGUCAGAUACACACAUACAGUCAGAUAUACACACAUAGUCAGAUACACACACAUAGUCAGAUACACACAUACAUAGUCAGAUACACAAAUACAUAGUCAGAUACACACACAUAGUCAGAUACACACAUACAGUCAGAUACACACACAUAGUCAGAUACACACACACAGUCAGAUACACACACAUAGUCAGAUACACACACACAGUCAGAUACACACACAUAGUCAGAUACACACACAUAGUCAGAUAUACACACACAGUCAGAUAUACACACAUAGUCAGAUACACACAUACAGUCAG